rnacentral:snoRNA from 1 species
AGGUGUGGUGUUCUUUCCUGAGUGUGACGCUGACUCUGGCGCUGACUCUGGCUGUUCUUUUUAACAGCUACCUUUUGUCAUUGAUGAUCAUUCUUCUCUCUCUUUUGGGGGAGUUAG